AAGCGCUGUGAGGCGUUGAGCUAACCGAUACUAAUUGCCCGUGAGGCUUGACCAU
rnacentral:rRNA from 2 species